rnacentral:rRNA from 1 species
GACAGAGGGUGCAAACGUUUGUUCGGAAUUACUGGGCGUAAAGCGCGUGUAGGCGGCUAAGUAAGUCGGGCGUGAAAUCCCACGGCUCAACCGUGGAAGUGCACUCGAAACUGCAUAGCUAGAGUCCUGGAGAGGAAGGUGGAAUGCUUGGUGUAGAGGUGAAAUUCGUAGAUAUCAAGCGGAACACCGGUGGCGAAGGCGGCCUUCUGGACAGUGACUGACGCUGAGACGCGAAAAGCGUGGGGAGCAAACAGGG